AGAGUUUGAUCCUGGCUCAGGAUGAACGCUAGCUACAGGCUUAACACAUGCAAGUCGAGGGGCAGCAUUGGAGUAGCAAUACUCAGAUGGCGACCGGCGCACGGGUGAGUAACACGUAUCCAACCUGCCGCUUACUCGGGGAUAGCCUUUCGAAAGAAAGAUUAAUACCCGAUGGUAUAAAGAGUUCGCAUGUUCUCUUUAUUAAAGAAUUUCGGUAAGCGAUGGGGAUGCGUUCCAUUAGAUUGUUGGCGGGGUAACGGCCCACCAAGUCUACGAUGGAUAGGGGUUCUGAGAGGAAGGUCCCCCACAUUGGAACUGAGACACGGUCCAAACUCCUACGGGAGGCAGCAGUGAGGAAUAUUGGUCAAUGGACGAGAGUCUGAACCAGCCAAGUAGCGUGAAGGAUGACUGCCCUAUGGGUUGUAAACUUCUUUUAUAAGGGAAUAAAGUGAGGGGCGUGUCCCUUUUUGUAUGUACCUUAUGAAUAAGGAUCGGCUAACUCCGUGCCAGCAGCAGC
rnacentral:rRNA from 1 species